CCCCGCCCCGCCCCGCUCCGCUCCGCUCCGCUCGCCGCCGCCGCCGCCUCGCCGUGCAGUUGUGAGGAAGACGCUGGCUUUGACUGGACUUUGCACAGGAGGGGAAAAGCCUGACAUUCCUGAAAAUGGCAGCUGAGACAUCCACACAAGUUCCAAAAACUGCUAAGCAAUCCGUCCUUAAAGAAGAGGUAAUCGUAGAAAGAAAAUGGUUGAAGCUUGAGGAAACAACUUACACUGAUGCCUUUGGUAAAACCAGAACUUGGGAAACCGUGAAGCGUGUUGGCAGGCAAAAGAGUGUUUCAGCUGAUGGUGUGGCAGUGAUAGCUGUGCUACAGAGAACUCUCCACUACGACUGCAUCGUCCUAGUGAAACAGUUCAGGCCUCCAAUUAAUGGCUACUGCUUGGAAUUUCCUGCAGGCCUCAUUGAGGAAAAUGAGACUGCAGAAAGUGCUGCAUUGCGAGAGCUGGAGGAAGAAACGGGCUACAAAGGGGAAGUUAUUGAAUGUACUCCAGCACUCUGCUUGGAUCCAGGUGUGUCAAACAGCACAACGCACAUCGUGAGCGUUACCAUCAAUGGAGAUGAUGCCUUGAAUACAAGACCUAAGCAAAAGCUUGAUGAUGGAGGUAUGUCACACAGCUGUGCUCCUGGUAACAGGAAGGUCAAGUGUGUUUAAUUUGUGGAAGUUAUUUCACUUCCAAAGAACGACUUACUGCAGAGAAUCGAUGAGCUAGUAGCAGAAGAGCAUAUUGCAGUGGAUGCCAGGGUUUAUACUUAUGCACUGGCCCUGAAGCGUGCAACAGAGAAACCGCUCCAAGUUCCUUUCAUGAAGUUCUAAAACUUCACAGUAAUAAAUAUAGCUGAGAAUCCUCCAGUCCAGAUGGCUUAGAAGUGUAACUCUUCUUGAAAUAAAGGUUCCUUACUUGUAGAGUAAAAAAAAUACUUGUAGGAAUGAUUCUGAUAUUUCUACCUGGAAUGAACUGACGGAAAGCAUUUCUUCUAACUGUUUAGUCUAUCUAGCCUUGACAGAAUAAUCAAAAUAAAAAUGCUGCUUAAUUUUCAA